rnacentral:rRNA from 1 species
UAGGGAAUCUUCCGCAAUGGGCGAAAGCUUGACGGAGCAACGCCGCGUGAGUGAUGAAGGUCUUCGGAUCGUAAAACUCUGUUAUUAGGGAAGAACAUAUGUGUAAGUAACUAUGCACGUCUUGACGGUACCUAAUCUGAAAGCCACGGCUAACUACGUGCCAGCAGCCGCGGUAAUACGUAGGUGGCAAGCGUUAUCCGGAAUUAUUGGGCGUAAAGCGCGCGUAGGCGGUUUUUUACGUCUGAUGUGAAAGCCCACGGCUCAACCGUGGAGGGUCAUUGGAAACUGGAAAACUUGAGUGCAGAAGAGGAAAGUGGAAUUCCAUGUGUAGCGGUGAAAUGCGCAGAGAUAUGGAGGAACACCAGUGGCGAAGGCGACUUUCUGGUCUGUAACUGACGCUGAUGUGCGAAAGCGUGGGGAUCAAACAGG